UUCCCAACGACUUGUCUUCUGUUUGUGUGCUACUCUUCUCUGUAUGAAUUAUGCAUCACGGCUCCAAUUCACGAUCCUCUCCAAUGGUCCAUGUGGUCUUUCUAAUACUGGCUUCUGGCUUCUUAAUAAUGUUAUGUGAUGCAGCAUGUAGUGGAAUGGAGCCAAGACGAUUAAGAAGUGGC